ACUGCACACUGUAACCAAUCACCGUUCACGAUCUAUGCGGAAAUUGUAUGCACCAUACGCAUGCGCACAAACACCAACGAGAGCAGGUUCAUAUUCGUAUUAUUAUUAGCUAGCUAGUAAUCCGUUAAAAUAUACACAUUUUAUACAAUUUCUACGUGGGUAUGGCAGAGGAGGUAACGAAAACCACAGGCGGACUCUCAGUGGGUGGGCUGUAUGUGUCUGACAAAGAAGGAAAUGACCAGGAUGGUGAUGGAACAGAGCAGAAGCCUUUCAAGACCUCAUUGAGGGCUUUGACAUUUGCUGGAAAGGAGCCAUUCCCCACCAUCUAUGUGGACUCUCAGAAGGACGGAGAGCGUUGGGCAGUGAUCUCCAAGACGCAGAUGAAAAAUGUGAUGAAGGUAUUUGCUAGAGAGCAGAUGAAGAGCGACUCCAAAGACAAAAAGGAGGCAGAGGAUUCUGAGAGACGAGAGAAGAACCUGGAAGAUGCUAAGAAAAUCACCAUUGAGAAUGACUCAAGCCUUCCAGAGCCCAAAACGGUGAAAAUCUAUCAGCUGGAGCCUCUCCGGGGGAGAGAGUGAAGGUGUUUGGCUGGGUGCACCGAAUGAGAAAACAAGGAAAGAACCUCCUGUUCAUCGUGCUGAGAGAUGGAACUGGUUUCCUGCAGUGUGUUCUCAACGAUAAAUUGUGUCAGUGUUAUAAUGCCCUGGUGCUGUCCACUGAAAGCACAGUGGCUCUGUAUGGGACAGUGAAGCAAGUACCUGAGGGAAAGCAGGCCCCUGGUGGUCAUGAGCUGCACUGUGACUUCUGGGAGCUGGUGGGUCUGGCGCCAGCUGGAGGAGCUGACAACCUGCUGAACAUGGAGUCUGAUGUUGACGUUCAGCUCAACAACAGACACAUGAUGAUCCGUGGGGAGAACGUGUCCAAGAUACUCCGGAUCCGCUCCACUGUCACACAGUGUUUCAGGGAUCACUUCUUCAACCGUGGAUACUAUGAGAUCACCCCACCCACUCUGGUGCAGACCCAGGUGGAGGGAGGUUCCACCCUGUUCAACCUGAACUACUUUGGGGAGGAGGCGUUCCUGACCCAGUCCUCUCAGCUCUACCUGGAGACCUGCAUCCCUGCUCUGGGAGACACCUUCUGUAUCGCUCAGUCCUACCGCGCAGAGCAGUCCCGCACCCGCAGGCACCUGUCUGAGUACACUCACAUAGAGGCAGAGUGCCCCUUCAUGACCUAUGAGGACCUACUGAGCAGGCUGGAGGAUCUGGUGUGUGAUGUGGUGGACAGAGUCCUGAAGUCUCCUGCUGCUUCUCUACUCUACCAAGUCAACCCUGACUUCAAGCCCCCCAAGAGGCCCUUCAAGAGGAUUAACUACUCAGAUGCCAUCAUCUGGCUGAAGGAGCAUGACAUCAAAAAGGAUGAUGGGACAUACUAUGAGUUCGGAGAGGACAUCCCAGAGGCCCCAGAGAGGCUGAUGACUGAUGCCAUCGGUGAGACCAUCCUGCUGUGCCGCUUCCCUGCUGAGAUCAAGUCCUUCUACAUGCAGCGCUGUCCUGAGGACCGACGCCUCACUGAGUCGGUGGAUGUGCUGAUGCCUAAUGUUGGAGAGAUAGUAGGAGGGUCUAUGAGGAUCUGGGAUGCUGAGGAACUGCUGGAGGGAUACAAGAGGGAAGGCAUUGACCCAGCCCCUUACUACUGGUACACUGACCAGAGGAAGUAUGGGACCUGUCCCCAUGGUGGCUACGGGCUGGGCCUGGAGAGGUUCCUAACCUGGCUGCUGAACAGACACCACAUCAGAGACGUGUGUCUCUAUCCCCGCUUCAUCCAGCGCUGCCGACCCUGAACUACCAACUACCCUGCCCCCUGCUGGAGAUGGAUCACACUGCCUUUCAAGAGACCAAGAAUCAAAUCAAAUGAAAUUGUAUUUUGUCAGAUGCGCUGAACAGGUGUAGACCUUAGCUUGAAAUGCUUACUUACAAGCCUUUAACCAACAAUGCAGUUCAAUAAAUAGAUUUAAGAAAAUAUUUACUAAAUAAACUUAAAAAAAUCUAAUCAAUCACAAGGUAACACAUGCUAACUAUGUAUUUUGACCAUCAAAGGCCCUUACUAAUUUGGUCUGACCUUGAGACUUUUUGAGGUCAUGUUAGGGUUUUAAAUAGUUUCUCAUGUUCAGGGAAAAUAUAUUUCACAUACAUUGAAAUGAAUGACCAAUGAACAUCAGGGAGAAUUUGAAAGAGAAUGCCUUCAAUCACCAUCCUGCAUUGUUCAAAAGUUGUUUUGGUUUCACAGACUCAAGGGUCCAAGAAUCGAAGAAGAGGUGGCAAGGAGAAAGACAGGAGUUGUUGAAAUUCCCUUUUUUCCUUAAAAAGGAUCCUGCAACUAAUGUAAAAGGAAUGCAAGCCAGUGAUGUAAGUUAUUUGUAGGGCAUCUUUGUUAUGAAUUAGGCUGUGGUUCUGGUGGGGGUUUCAUAUAUUGGCAUUGAGUAUGGGGCAUCACCAUUUUAAAAUGUUUUAUCACUUAGAAAACACUUAGUUUUUUCACAUUUAUCAAAUUAGGCCCAAUACACACUUCAUUUGUAGUCUUUGCUCACUCAGAUUAGCGGCCUACUUAGCCAGGUUCAGUAGAUUUUACUGAUAUAUUUAUGAGAAAAAAUAAGAAACCCACACACUGCUCUUGCUACUAUCACUGCUCUUUAUUACGUUUUAUCAAAUAUAACAAUGUGCAUUUCAUAAAUAUUCUAAUAAAGUGUGCACAUAAAAAGUA